GGUUUGAGAGUCCCCGAUGAAACCAUUCGGAUAUUUUCAUCGGCUCAUCAGACACGC
ensembl:miRNA ipu-mir-7566 ipu-mir-7566